rnacentral:lncRNA from 1 species
AUGCCAUGUGACCAGGGUGCUGUUGACUUUGUGUGUCCCAUGGUGUGCUUGGCAAACAGAGAGAUUUACCCAAGGCCACCUCGUUGCCAUCUGCCAGGUUGGGAGCUUUGGAGCAGGAGGCAGAGGACGGGGCUCUGCCUGGCAUGCACUUGCCCCUCUGGCUCUCCUGGGGUGCCCACCCAGAGAUGCUGGCCACGCAGAUGGGUGCGUCCAGGAAGGCGACUCCGUAUACCACUGAGGACUUCUCUGCAACACUCUGGAAGUCUUUAUCAAGGGGUUGCCCGUUCUAGAAUACUCUAUGUGAUUGCUGCCUCCACAUCGGGCUCCCAUUAAGUUUUCACGUAAAGAAAAAAUUCAGGAACUGGCUUCAGGUGGCCCCUGAGCCAUCUCUCUGAGGAGGAGGUACCUGCGGGUGGACCAUUACCCAGGUGAGAAUGUGCUUGGAUCCCAGGACCGGGAGUUCAGGGACCUCGGCUCUUCCUGGUGGGGCCCCUUGAGCUCCGACUGGGGCUCGCUCGUCAUUUUGUCGUGGGUUGCAUUCGGGGCAGGUGCUCUGUGUCAUGAGGCCGUAGAGUGGGAGUGGGGGGAGGUGACCCAAGUGUCUCUUCUCCUGGAAGGCUUGGCUGGGAGAGGCCGGAGGAGGGGCAGGAGCGGCCGCGGACGGGCCUGCGCGUGUGCGUGGGGGUGGGUGCGCGGGGCCCGCGGACAGGGGCGCAGGCUGUCCCUGCGGAGGCGGGGGGGGGGGGGGGGGGGGGGCCCUUCCCGGGACGUCGUCUGCUCCCAGCGCAGGAGGCCGCUCCGCCACCGCCACCGCCACCGCCACCGCCACCGGACCCCACGCCUGCGCCCGCGCCGCCGGCCUCGCCCUCCCGCCCGGGGGCUGAGCCCGGCCUGAGGCCCCGGGUCGCGGCGAGGGCAGGGGGCGCCGGUGGGGGGAGGGGCGCGGGG